rnacentral:rRNA from 1 species
AGUGAACGCUGGCGGUAGGCCUAACACAUGCAAGUCGAACGGCAGCACAGUAAGAGCUUGCUCUUACGGGUGGCGAGUGGCGGACGGGUGAGGAAUACAUCGGAUUCUACUUUUUCGUGGGGGAUAACGUAGGGAAACUUACGCUAAUACCGCAUACGACCUACGGGUGAAAGCAGGGGAUCUUCGGACCUUGCGCGAUUGAAUGAGCCGAUGUCGGAUUAGCUAGUUGGCGGGGUAAAGGCCCACCAAGGCGACGAUCCGUAGCUGGUCUGAGAGGAUGAUCAGCCACACUGGAACUGAGACACGGUCCAGACUCCUACGGGAGGCAGCAGUGGGGAAUAUUGGACAAGGGGCGAAAGCCUGAUCCAGCCAUACCGCGUGGGUGAAGAAGGCCUUCGGGUUGUAAAGCCCUUUUGUUGGGAAAGAAAAGCAGCAGGUUAAUACCCCGCUGUUAUGACGGUACCCAAAGAAUAAGCACCGGCUAACUUCGUG